rnacentral:snoRNA from 1 species
UUUGGUGAUGAUACAAUUUGUGACGCGAGAUCUAACGAUCGGUGUGUGCACAUGAUUUCUCAAUAGACUACAACGGUAUCUGAUA